rnacentral:rRNA from 1 species
UACGUAGGGCGCAAGCGUUAUCCGGAAUUAUUGGGCGUAAAGAGCUCGUAGGCGGUCUGUCGCGUCGAAUGUGAAAACCCGGGGCUCAACCCCGGGCCUGCAUUCGAUACGGGCAGACUAGAGUUCGGUAGGGGAGUCUGGAAUUCCUGGUGUAGCGGUGGAAAUGCGCAGAUAUCAGGAGGAACACCGGUGGCGAAGGCGGGACUCUGGGCCGAUACUGACGCUGAGGAGCGAAAGCGUGGGGAGCAAACAGG